rnacentral:lncRNA from 1 species
UCAAAGAUGCUUGUCUAAACGAACCUCUGAGCUGCGUGGAGUGCUACCCGACACCUGGUGGGCAGAAAGGAAGGAAAAGCAUAUCAUUUUGAAUUCUGGUUCUAAUUUACAUGAUGUUUUAUAAGUGAGCAAAACUCAUUUUCUCCAAGGAUGUUAUUAGAUCUGGGAAAUAUAGACGACAAUUUAAGGGAGUGGGAAAAUCAAAUUGGUGCGUUAGAGGCAAGCUAGAGAGGUUUUGAUGAACCGAUGUCUUUAUCUCUUAGGGCAGAGAUGGGGCACGUAACUGCAUAAACCACUAGCCUGAUCUUCUGGGCAGAUGCUUCCUUCUAAGAUGGUUUGGAGAUAUGAUUUACCACUCCUUUGAGACAAGUGUCUUUCAGCCCAACAGAGGUGCAAAGUCUCUGCAGGAUGGGUUGCUUUACUUAGAAAAUCUUCUGGGAGACAGAGACGAGAAUUAUUUUUUGUGGUAUCCAAACUGGUAUGACUUGUACUUUAAUCAUAAGAAAACAAACCAGUGCAGACGGACAGGAAACCUAUGGCUGAAACUGAAAUGCUGCUGACUGGGCAGGCUCCCAGAUCCCCCAGGUAUGAGUCCUCUCCUACUUUGCUCAGCAUGAGCCCAGGGCAUAGCUGUGAGCUGUACUGCUUCAUACAGACUCAGACCCAACAGAGGAAUCAUCAAGCAAAAG